UACGUAGGGGGCUAGCGUUGUCCGGAAUCAUUGGGCGUAAAGCGCGUGUAGGCGGUUCGGUAAGUCCGCUGUGAAAGUCGGGGGCUCAACCCUCGAAAGCCGGUGGAUACUGUCGGGCUAGAGUACGGAAGAGGCGAGUGGAAUUCCUGGUGUAGCGGUGAAAUGCGCAGAUAUCCGGAGGAACACCGGUGGCGAAGGCGGCUUCCUGGACCGACACUGACGCUGAGGCGCGAAAGCGUGGGGAGCAAACAGG
rnacentral:rRNA from 1 species